rnacentral:tRNA from 1 species
AGAAACUUAGGAUUGACCUAAACCAAAGGCCUUCAAAGCCUUAAACAAGAGUUAGACCCUCUUAGUUUCUG